CGGUAAUACGGAGGGUGCGAGCGUUAAUCGGAAUUACUGGGCGUAAAGGGUGCGUAGGUGGUUGAUUAAGUUAUCUGUGAAAUUCCUGGGCUUACCCUGGGACGGUCAGAUAAUACUGGUUGACUCGAGUAUGGGAGAGGGUAGUGGAAUUUCCGGUGUAGCGGUGAAAUGCGUAGAGAUCGGAAGGAACGCCAGUGGCGAAGGCGGCUACCCGGCCUAAUACCGAC
rnacentral:rRNA from 1 species